rnacentral:lncRNA from 1 species
GGGCCUCGACCUCUGGGGCUCAGGAGAGGCGCUGGGAAGCCUCUCCUUGACCUGAGAGAGCACGUGGAGGCAGGACAUGAUGUUCUUAAGGAUCUGGUGCUGAUAGGAAGGCCGGGGCCUGGUUGCCCAGACCCACAACCACCCGGGUUCCUGCACCAGGUGGAGCCGCCAUUGAGCUAAGCUGUCCCGCGGGGAGGAGCUCUGGCUCCUGUCUUGUGGGCUUCCUAGCCUGCCUUGCUGGCUUAUUUACUCUUGGAAUCCCUUGGGGCCCUUCAUUCUCCCUAAAGGAGGGGUGCAUUCUCUGUUCCUCCAACUCUCCCUGUUCCCACACCUUGGGGCAGUUGAGGAGAAGGAACAGCUCCUCCAGGACUCUCUCAGCCCCGGGUUUGGGGGAAGAGAAUCCUUCCUCCUUUCUCUGGCCACUGCUACUAUACCCUACGUCCUCUGGGUCCUCAGACCCUCACCACAGAGGGGAUGUGGCCCGUGGUUGUGACAUAGCUGACAAGCAGUAGGAAAACUCCCUUCUGUGAAGGGGAAGCAGAUAGGGCCAUAAGCAAACAGCAGCAUGGGCUCAGGUGCCCGCGGUUUGCUUAGGGCCCAGGAUUGGCCAAGUGCUAUUUAAUUUAUUGAGAGGGUGGGAUAGGUGGCUUUCCCUCUCGUUCUUCCCCCAACAAGAAUAAAGUUUAUUAAAUUAUCUGGUUUUGA